CCUGCCUUGUCCUGUCUCCUAAAGAGCAACAUGGAGAACCUUCCCCAAGGAGAACACGGAGCUCAAUGAGGUCACUAUUGAGUCUAGGAGUCCAGCCCUGCCUUCUGUCCCACUGGAAAGGCCAACCCCAACAAGACCUGAGAAACAGGGACACACAUCUUUGGAGCUCUUUCAACUCUGUCUUAGGACAAGAAUGCAGAUUGCCAUCACCACCGUCACCACACCCAAUCCCCCCGUGAGCCGAUAAGGGCUUACAGUGUAAGUGGUGGAGAACACCCUGCCAGGCCUGAAGGAAAGGAGCUCUGAUGUUGAGUAAUGGCAAGAAAAGCAGAAUGUUCCUCUGUCCCCUCUCCCUUUAUCCCCUCCCAGGAACAGGCUACAAGUUCAUAUCAGCACACUGACCUGCCAGCAGUGCUCACCAGCGGUCACUGCCCUCCUCUCUCCCUCCUCCACACCAGUUGACCUCAGAGGCCUUGAGAAUUCUUUUCACGAGCAUGGGGACACAGCUAACAAGAAAGUUGAUCCAGUAAAAACAGAACCAAACCUGAAGUGUGAGUUUGAGUUUGCUGCUGCUUAGCACACAGAGACUGCAGCGAGUUCAUGGAUAAGUCGAGUCUGGACUCCUCCCUCGAACUGCAGACUGACACCCCGAAGUCCACCUCAGGAGACUCUCAAAAUCAAUGAUAUCCAUAACUGAGGUUCCCAUCCCACUUCUUUCCCCAGUUUCCCCAGCAACUCCUCUCAUCUCAAUAAAUGCCAAUUCUACCCUUGUAGUUGCUCAGGAUGAAAUGUUUGGAGUCCUAUUUGACUUCCUUCUCCUUUUCACCUACCACAGCCAA